CAAAAAUAGUACAAAUAGAAAUAUAGUGAGUCUAAGAAACAUUUGUUUUAAAUUGUAGAAUGAAAACUGCUUAAAUUCAGAUUCAAGUUCAGACUCACUGAACAGCCACUGUGAAGCAGGUACACAUAAUAUUUAAAUAAGAGUGAUAGUGAUGAAGAGAGUAUGUAGCUGCUUAUUAAAGAUACAAGGACAUGUACAGUAUUAAAUAUAUAAGGACAUGUACAGUAUUAAAUAUAUAAGGACAUAUACAGUAUUAAAGAUAUAAGGAAGACAUGUACAGCAUUAAAUAUAUAAGGAUAUACAGUAUUUCUCAUAUCCAUGACAUAAAAGUGAUAGAAACGUGAUGCAGGUAAUGUGUGCAAACAUGUUUUUGAAAGUGACCAGUACAUGCAGUUUAGUAUAUACAGGUACAUGUUUAUUGUAUGAGCACAUAUUGAUAAAAACAUCAAUAAUCAUGAGUGGUCAUUAUAUCUUUGAACAAAUAUUUUAACAUUUAUAAAAUAAUAGCAGGUCACAUGAGAGGCCCGUCGCAGAUGAACCUGUUGUAUCAGGUAUAACAAUAUCAGCAGGAAUAUUAACGGGAAGCCAGAUUUCUGCAGGGCUGUGACUAAUAUCAGGCGUCCAUCCCUCUCUCUCCAACAUUUCCUGUCUCUCUUCAGCCGUACCUAUCCAAUAUAGGCAACAGGCCCAAAAACAAAUCUUUAAAAAAAGAAACUGACAGGUUUAAUAACAGAAGGUAACCUGCGGUGAUAUUCUGCACAGUGUUUUGAUAUAUUUGAUGCACAGGAGAGAGCACUUACAGAUGUUUUAAACAUUUUUAUUCAUGAAAAUAAAUCACUAACCACAGUGGGCCUAUAUAGGCUAUGAAGCCUGUUAAAGUAACAUUUAUAGAAUAAUUAUGAACUUUAAUAAAACUAUUUCGGAACUUGAACUUAACCACUGCAUUUGCAGGAAUAUUUUAAUCCAUUUUUUAAAAUUUAAUUGCGACCUGACGUAUAUAUUUCAACCCCCCGACGCCUUUUUUCAACUUCAAAAUGUUUGCUGGGUAGCGCCACUCGGCCGGGCGUGCCCAAACACUUAUUCAUAAACUUCAACAGCCUAUUUAAUGGAACAUAAUCACAAAGUGCAAUGGCACAACGUGCUGAAAACAUGAGAAUAAAAGACUACAGUAUGUGCCUGCUGUCACAUGCUUUGAUGACGGACUUCAGUUUUCUUGUUCUGCUUCCUGUGGAGGCGUCGCCCCUCUUCCCCCCACAUCUAUGCAAAUCUCCGGACAGGGAAGGAGGCAAAAGAGACGACUGAAAUAGACGACUGGUGCUUGGUGACACUGUGAGAAGCCGUGCGUGGCUCAAGGCCAGUGGGCCCAGGACCAUCACGAGCGUCACACGAGCGCUGACAGUGAAAGUCCAUUUGUGAUUUUAUUGUUGUUUGCACUACAGACUGUUCUCACGUUGCAGCGCUUUACUUCUCUACAUUUAAGAAGCCCCCAGAAGCUUGGGAGCAUGUGUGCCGUAGGGAAGUCGAUCAGGUACAUUUCUGUUUUGUCCAAUAACAUGUGGUGGAAUCCUGCCUUCCCUAGGCUUCCCUAGUUAUUGGUCAACGUGUCUCUACCACUGUGUGAAUUAGGUCAUGGCCAAGUGUGCAGAGGUGGGGCAAGAGAUACAAUGCAUGACGGCCCACCCUGGACUAGAAGGGGUGUGCCUCAGUCCAAGGGUCCUGCAGGCUGCGUGCAACAGCUGCAGGCAGGACUGUAUGUAUUGUCUUUGACUGAAUACCUCGAUAUCAAUAUUGUAGGGGUGACAGUGGGUGCUUGCAUCACUUACUUACAUGUGAAAUGUUUUAUUAACAAUUAUUCGUAAACUUAAAAUGAUCACCGAGCAGGUAGAGGCAAAUAAUGGAUAUCAUAACUACAUUAUGAGCAAUACCAACCGUGUACAGCAGGUCAUAAACCCCUUUCUAACUAACGUACAGUUACCUUUAUCACUUCAAAUGAACUACUCCACAGUUCACCUGGAACUGAUCACCUCUUUCGAGCAGACUCUGAUGUGCACCAGGGUUUAAUUAGGGCACCCUCACCGACCCAAACCAACAGCACCAAGGCAGCACAAGGAUGGGAUUCAACUGGAACAAACACCGGGUGGCGGUGUGAAAGCGACCCAACACUAUCCUCUAAUGCAGAUGCGGUGGCCUUUUAAAACAAGAUACAUGCGUCCUCGUACUUGGAGCUGAGGGGAGGGCGCACUGGGAUAGUAGCCAGCAGGUCCUUGUCUGGCUUGGGAUCAGCAGUCACCUCCUGGCAGAGAUACUCCAGCGUCUUCAAGAUGUCAGCUGAGUAGUUUCCCCUCUUCCUCUUCAGAAGCUUCCCCUUCACCCUGACGUUGCCCUUUCGGUUGCGUGCAGGAGGUCUGUGUGCAUUCUCAUUGUAAUGCAGAGCAGCAAGGAGAAGCAAAAAUACAAUAAAACUAACUGAAAUGUGCAUUUCAGCUACUUUUCUUCGAUUUGAAAACAUCCAAACACGUACCUGCACAACAUCCCGUGAAAUGAGUGCACCACAUUUUGGGGGCAGAACCUCAACCCAGGACCGUGGUAGGACUCGAUGGAGGAGGUCUGGACUGUGCUGCUCAUCUUGACGGUGUCCUUUACCAUCGACACCAGUUAGCUUCUCGCUAACCUUUGUACCUAAGAUUUACAAAAUUCACAGUUAAGUGAGCCUUAAUCAUUGUCUCAAAGGUCUGUACAAGCCCACAGUUUAGAAGAAAACUCACCAGUUUCUUUGAGAUUGCUUAGGACAAGGUAUCAAAUCAUUACAAUAACUGUACAUCACAAAGCAUCCUUACAAGAUUUACUAAACGGAAAAACAUAAUAAUUUUUAACACAUGCUGUAUACAUAGAUUAAAUACACACAUUUAUCCAGAUACCACACAUCAAAAAUGUGCAGAAUGUCAGGCUUCUCCUCCCUCAGGUACUUUUGGAUGGAGCUGUGGACUGAAAGCCCUGUCGCCAAACCUUCCUUCUCCAUCCUCAGGCUGUUGCCCACAAAACAUUAGCAUUACACACUGAUGCACAGACAGUGCAUUGCAAAAGUAUUCAGAUCUUUAAAGUAGAAAAAAAUCAUCAGUAGUCAUAUUUUGAAUUAAGACAUAACUUGGAAAGAAAUAUUACAGCAUUAUUUCUUAUCCUGUAACAAAGUGAGGUUUUAUCAAGGGUCUGAAAACUUUUUCCAGGCACUGUAUAUAAUGUAAAUACUGAGUGUGCACAGUGAUUUAUCAACGUGACAAAACGUUAUGGAAUCAAGACUUUAUCAUAGUAAAUGAUGCUUCAUAGGAACAAUUACGUAGAUACAAAUUAGGAUCUCCCAUCAGCAUAGGUAUGAUGGCUAAAUUACUAAUUACUAAUAAUAAUCUCCCUUGACUUUCCCAAACUAUUAAAGUUUGUCCACAUAGCAGUUUCCUGUGUUUACACAAGUUAAUAUCGCCAACCAAAUAAGCUUUCACUGCAUCCUCUAGUGUCAAAUGAUCAUUAAUUCACUUAUUAAUUAUUCAUCGCUGUGUUUAUAUCAUUCAUUCGUGGUUGCAUUUAUUCGUUCAUUUGAGUGUCUACUAGUCGUUAGUUUGCUUGUGUGUCUAGUAGUUAUUGUGCUGUGUGUGUAGUUAGUAGUUAAAUAAACAUUUAUUUGCCGCUCAGACGCAAAGAGGCAUGACAGUGCGCCUCCGCAAGCUUGGAGGAUGAGGUAUGACCUUCAGCUUCUACUAUAGUACUUCUUUUUUUUUUUUUUUUUACUUUGCACACCAUUAAGUUAUUUGCCAAAAACAGUGUGGCUAAUCAACAUUGUCAGAAAAUGACUCCGAAAAAUAUUACAUAUAAAAAUCAAUAUUAAAUCAUUGAAAAUCAGUAUCCUUGUAAAUUACUAUUUGAUCCAACUCAAAUAGAUGUAAGUAAGGGAUAUUAUUAAAAAUGUAAAAAAAACCACACCUCUGCUGGUCAUGAUGAAAUUAGUAGUUUGUUAGUAAAAGAGGUAUCUAAUUAUAUUCUGGAACCUCUCACUCACAUUUUUUGGCAGAUCUAUGGAAACUGGUAUUGCUCCUAAAGAUCUUUAAAAAGCAGUAUUUAUUUUUUUUUUUUUUUAAGAUCUUUCUAAAGCGCUUGACGUUAAUCGUGAUAUUUUGUAAGCCAAAUUAAAACAGGCCAAGGUCAUACACUAAAGUGGUUAACUAGUUAUAUGAGUGAGAGGGAGCAAUAUGUAAUAACAAAUGUUUGAGCUUCAAACGGAGUCAUAUAUAACAUGUGGGGUGCCACAAGGAUCUGUUUUAGGACCCUUAUUAUUUCUUAUUUAUAGGAAUGAUUUGUCAUGACUCUUGUACCAUUUUGUUUGCUGAUGAUACUGAGACGACCCUCUCCACGCUGUCCGCCCGUUACUUGGCUUGUGUGGCUGCUUUUUUUGCAGGUACUGGAGGUGGGCGGGGCAGAGGGUCAUCAGCAACACACCUGGGCCCUGUGUGCCAGUGCUCCUUCAGAAACCCUCUCGGAGCUCAGUUGCUGGGUGCUCUCCUCCCUCAGUCACCCAUUUGGUUUUUGGUUGUUGCAGCAUGCAACGCUGCACCCACAGACACUGCUGAUCUUAAUGAUUACAACACCAAUAUGUUUUAUCACAGACAGAUUUACACACUUAUGAGGAAAUGUUGAGUUGCACGAUGGUUUCAACUUAAUAAGCUCUCAUUAAUAUCAAAAAGGCACAUCACAUUUAAUUCAUGACUAGUUCUUUACUUUUAUCUGUUUUUUACAUGAUUGUUGUUUUGUGAACUCUUCUGUUAAUUUUGUGUGUUUCUUAUUGUCAUUUAUUUUCUUUGUAAUUUGCUAAAUCAUGUUGUAUUUAUUAGUUUAGUAUAUUUUUCUUUGUUCUCUUCUUUUCUGAAGUUGAGGUCUGUUGCAUCAGCUAUUAUCUGGUUUUAUGCCGUUGUAUAUGUGUGCAAACAAAAACAAAAAAACUAGCAGGAACCUGCUGAUUUGGGGAACUAAUAAAAAACUGCUGGUUUGAGUUGACACCCACGAUAAUGUGCGGCAGUGUGUGCAGCCUGUUAGUCUGUUUGUGGCCCCUGGAGUCGUUGCUAUUCCUUAAAUCCAAACAAGCCCAAAGGCAAACUGACCAUCAGAGUGAUUUGCCAUCCUGAGAGCCCUUUGCUUUUGCUAGCAGGGCUAAAAACCCAACACUGUCAGAUGAAAACAAGCCCUGCUUUUGUAUUAUGCCAUCCCAUUGUGGCAUUCAUUGCCUUGAAUACCAGGCUGGCUGGACUUAGAGAGCAGACUGUCUAUUGUCACAGCUCAGUGGCCAGUGAAGCUUUAUUUGUGCCUCUAAUCAAAAGGGGAAUUUACCGAGGCUUAGGCCACUGCACUGCAAUCAGCAAGAAUCUAACUGAGGACAAAGCACCACAGACUCUUCGCUUUGCAGGGCGCUGCAUACUUAGUUUAUUUCUCACUGCUUAAGUGUCACAUGUGACUACUUGUCCCAAAAGUAAUGAGCUUCAGGCUUUUCUUUAGCACAAAAAAUAACAGUAUAUAACCGUGCUUCGUCUUUACCACAGAAAACUUCUAGAAGGUUGACAGAUAGAAAAAGAUUAUAUCUUUAUCAGAUUACAGUGAAAGAGGUUGCGGGUGAUGAUAGUGUGGCGGCAGACAGGAAACAAGGGGAGAGAGAGGCGUUUGACAUGCAACACCAGAGCUGCACCAGGGACAUUGCUGUUAUAUGGCGUGGAUCACUCCGUGCCCUGCCAUUUUCAUUAAUAUUGGGUUUUUUGCUGUGCAUAAAAGUAUUACCAAACUGAUUUGCAAUUAAUCAAGUCACCAUAAACACCACAUAACGAACAUGGAGCCGUCAGGCCCCCCGACGGUCCGGGGCCCCACAGGGCAGUAAGUCAGUAAUCCAGCCUCCCAUCAAACCAAAACGCCCACUUGUACUGACAUCGAAUGUGCUGCACAUUCAUGCUCUCCGAGGGUGAUUUUAUUGACCUGACAAUCUUUCCUCUAGAACCACCCUGUAAACACACUGCAUAUAUAUUAUUAUUAUAUAUUAUUUAAUAAAGCUUAAUUGUAGAAGAGAUGCCCAUAUGUUUGUUGUUCUUUCCAUCAAACGCUGUUCUGGCUGAUCGCGUGGUUUUGGACUUUAAGCCUUGUGAGACGAGACGUUAAUUAAGAUAAACUCAGAGCUGCUUGGCCUUGGCUUGCCUUCAUGCGUGAGGUGUUGGAACACGCCACAGCUUCCUACACGCUCAGCCUCUUUAUUUCAGAGGACGAAUCAGGGCCAAACACGAGGACGAGGAGGGGAGACCGAAAGAAAGACAAGAACAUCUGCAAGGCUGCAUCUGAAAAGAUGGAGGUGGUUAAAUAAUGAGCUGCUUCAGAACAUAAAACUAUGGGAGGAGGCAGAGAAGAGGAGAGAUCGUUUUACUCUUUGAAAAGGUAUCAUCAGCGUGUCAUGUUAUGGCCUCAAUAUUAUUUAAAAAACAUUAUUUGAGUGAACACAAGAGCGUUUGGAAAAUCUUGCAGUGAAAUUAAAAUAUUUGUAAGGUCAGUUUCAAAAUAAUUAUUAUUAUAAUUGCAGUUUCUAGAUCUGCAGAAGAGAGAAAGGGUUUUAUUUUCACAACAGAUCGUGUGUGGAAAAAGCUCCUCCUAACAACAGAUUUAUUUGUUUGUCAAAGCUUAAAGCUUAAAUCAAAUAUUUCUACUAAGCUGGAGACAUUUUUAGACCGUCCAGCAUUUGACAUCCUGGAGACAAUUUAAAAGAGACGAGAAGAUACGGCUGCAGGACAUCAGCGUAACAAUGGUAGGAGAUGCAGUGUUUUUAAAACAGACGCCAGUAGAAGCAUAUAUACUCUAUAUAUACACAUAAUGCAAGUCAAAGUGGGCCUAAAAGGGAACACGGGGGAACACCACGAGAGACACGGGCACAAGAGGACAAACAGUUCACUGAUAUAUAUCUUUCAAUUAAAGGCAAACUUCUCUAAAGAGGAAUCACUGAAUACUGAGGAGGGGACAUUACAGCUUUCUUUUAGCUUUUGGAAACAUUUGAUGACUGGUCAUUAGGCCAUUAUUGGAGGUGACAGUUUUCCAUGUGUUGGGGGGAUGUGACACCUCGCCCCCCCAGUGAUGGAGGUUGAUUUUCUUACUGAAGUCUGUCUGAACAUUGUCCUCUUGCCGUCCAGCUGCCAUGUUCCGCAUGAGAGAAGAGAGGAGUUGAUUGAGAUGUUGAUGUGUUCACCUGAGUCUCCUUCAGUUAUCACUGUGGCUCAGAGCAAUGAGCUUAACGAGCAGCAAUGGGUAGUAGUGCUUGGAGGACUUUUCGUCCUGGGUUUCGCCUCUCAGGCUGUGUGCAGCCUGAAAGGAAUACCUGCAGACACUACUCAGGGCUAAAGAUGGGUACAGCUGGUUACAUUUUUAGAUUCAAAAUGUAUUUAAUCUGUAUUUUUAUUAACAGUUCAUAUUGUCCUAAAUUAAGUCAAAAAUUAGAUCGUUAAGCACAGUGCUGAGUAAAGAUGCAAGUACAACAUUAUUAUCUAUAAGGUACGAGGCAUAGCUUAUAUAAAGGAACCUGAAAGGAAAAGGUAGGAUUUCUACAGAGGUUUACAUUGUAUUUUUAUUUUUUGUUAUACCCCAAUUAUUGUGGAAAGCACAAUAACCAAUUUUAUCAUGAUUUGUUUAUAUUUGCUCGAUUCAUUAAAAUGUAUAAAAGGCAGGAAAUAAGUGCAUGUAUACUCUGUUGCCAGCGGCCAGUUGCGUUACACUGACAGCUGUUUCCAUUAUUUUGUCCAGCCAAUGAGAGUGGGCUAAACAACAGAAACCCCUCUCGGUGCAACACGAUGCAGUUCAACAGCAGCACAAACUGCAUCCUCUGUGAUGAUCCGACACUUGAAUCAACACGUUUCUAGAACAGCUUCAACGCAAACUGAACUUUACAACCUUCAUGAAGGAGGAUUUAUUGCAGAGCUGCUGUAGUAUUAUUAUUAUUAUUAUUAUUAUUUUUUUAUCAACAAUCCCACCGACUUUACCCAGAGAUUGGUCCGGUGUGUGGUGUCAAAGAAGGCAGAGUUCGUACCUCCUUUCAUUUAUAGUGUACAACCGAGCGCAACACCAUUAAAGCCUCUGAGGAGAGACUGUCUCAAAGUGUGCGCCCCUUUCAUCCCGAUUUGUGCUAUUCACUGCCUCCCGUCCGUCUCCAUCACAGCAGGUUUGGAGCGUGGCCAUCUGAAACAGGCAACUGCACAUCAUCAAAUGGAGUGUGACAAUUUUGAGAUUGCAUCUGUGAACUAAAGAACAAUGGAAAACUAAAAAGAAAACCUUGUGUUGCUGCAACAUGAAAGAUACAUCCUGCAGAUGUGCUGGGCAGGAACCUGGGGUCCUCGGGUGCUCCAGCAUCAGACACCCUCACCCAGGCGAGCCAGCUGGGGCUGAUCAAAUCCCAGCCUGCGUCCCAGCAGCGUUCGCCCACUGAUCUGCCCUCUUGAUCCGCAGCCACCUACUGGCUUUCUCUCAAGAAGCGCAAAGGCUUUGCAGAGCGAGCGCCCUGCGGACCCUCGACAGCCCACCUCUGCAGGCUCACAGCGAGUCCUCCAGGCUUCCAGUUGCCGGUUGGCAGCAGUGGUGAGGAGGCCAGACUUUGCUCUUGGUUCGGGGUGGGGCUUCUCUCCGGCUCUGCAAAACAAUAAACAUGAAGAAAUAUAAAGCAAGUACUGCAGGUCAAGAAUCCUAAAUAUAACAUUUGGGAUAGGAUAUUAAAGAAUAUAAAAAAAAGAAAAUAAUAAAGAAUAUGUACAAUAUGACUGUUAUUUAGCAAUCAAUUAUUAAUUAACAGUCUAAUGUAUUUAUAGUAGACAGUGCUGGAGGAAGUAUUCAGGCCUUCUACUUCAGUUAAAGUACUAAUACCACACAGUAAAAUACUCCAAGUAAAAGUCCUGCAUUGAAAAAGUAAAAUGAUGUAAGUAAUAUCAGCAAAAUGUACUUGAAGUGUGAAAAGUAAAAGUAUUCAAUGCCGAACAAUGUCCCCUGUGGCUGUUAUUAGAUAUUAUGUCAUUAGAUUAUUAUUACUGAUGUAUAAAUGUGUAAGUAGCAUUUUACUGCAGCGGCUGGUCGAGGUGCAGCUCAUUUUAACUUCAUACAUACGCUUGGCUUGUUUAAUCUGUAACAGGGCAUCAUAUUAUAUAUAAAAUCUUAAUUUGUCCAGUAACUAGUAACUAUAACUGUGAAAUAAAUGAGGCGCAGUACAAAGCGCAACAUUUCCCUCUGAAAUGCUGCUGGUGGGUGACGAACAUCAGAGAAACGAAUAAUGAGAGAAAUGUGGUUCAACAGUGACACGUGUUCGUACAGAGAGCAGACAAUGAAGAGGAGAGAAACCAGACAAUUACAUCUCUGUUGCUGCUUGCUCCCCUGACUGAUGCAAAAAUAAAAUAAGACGAAGAAGAAGAAGAAGAAGAAGAAGAAGAGCUAAACUACAAAUGUUGUGAAUACAUGUAGCUUCGGCUCAGGUUGGACAUGUAACGAGAGUGAAGUUACUCAGUGUCGGUGAGAGGAGAAACGUCACGCUCCCGCUGUGGACCGCCAGAACUUGGGAUUUCUGGUGGCCAAAGUGAGAAUUUGGACCGUGACCAGGCUGAGAAAGAGGAGGUGGUCCUGGGAUCUGUGUGGUCCAGGCAGAGGGCGGAGAGCAGUCACCAAAAGACGUGAUGAUUGGGAUUGAAGGAGUAGUGCUCUGUGCCUGCGCAGUGCUCACGGGCCUCAGUUAUGCUCUGGGUCUGAGCUGCCCAUCCAGCCUUCCAGGUCUUUCAAAAACUCUUGCGGACUCUGGAUGGGCAGAGGCUGCCAGAGUCCAAAAGCAGCAGCUUGAGAUGUUUGAGUGGAUCUGGUAACGGCUCUGGUAACUAACAUUUGUAUUUUUUUUACUUGGAGACAGUUUCAAAAUGACAUCUUUUCGGGAUUUCUGAUUCAACAUCUGUUGUCAGGCCAACACAUUGAUACUGGUAUAUCUGCAUUAAGCUUACAUCAGCUGAUGUAUUGUUUCCAGUUGUUCAAUUACAGAAAGGUGUUAUGAACCUAAAAUUAAAUGUGAUUCACAAACUGUGGGCUCGUGUUGUGAGGCAGCAACAAAAUAUGUACAAUUUUGAUGCGUGUUUGUUAUUUAGUUGUAGCAAAGUGUUGCCACGGUCUAAAUCUGGAGUUCGCCUCUGUGAAAGUUGACAAAGUCUCUGUCUUUUUCUCUAACCAUUAACACCUAACAUCCUUGCCAAGCCACGAGGGGCCUCGCCUACAGGACGGCACAGCGAGGUAAAAGGUGUUGUUUGCCUUGAUGGACUGCUGGAUUUGUAGCUCUAGCACCUGCAGCUCUUAAUCUAACAGCUCAUGGUAGCUGAUUCUUCUUGUUCCGUUCCUCCCUGCCAUUAAAAGUGAUCAGCUGAUUUCGUGCAGACCAAUUUCUGUUCUGCAGUGACGUGGCCAACAGAGCUCUGCGAGCAGCACAUCCCUGUUUCCUGUUUUAAUGCGUACAUGGUCUCAUGGGUACAGUUGUUUGUGCCUCUUUUUUUGCCAUUGUGCAGUUUUGUUAAAUUCAUGAAAUGAAUAAACACAAAGGCUAUUUGA